rnacentral:rRNA from 1 species
UACAGAGGGUGCGAGCGUUAAUCGGAAUUACUGGGCGUAAAGCGCACGUAGGUGGCGACGUAAGUCGGGUGUGAAAGCCCCGGGCUCAACCUGGGAAUUGCAUUCGAGACUGCAUUGCUGGAGUACGGAAGAGGAGGGCGGAAUUCCCGGUGUAGCGGUGAAAUGCGUAGAUAUCGGGAGGAACAUCAGUGGCGAAGGCGGCCUUCUGGUCCAGUACUGACACUCAAGUGCGAAAGCGUGGGGAGCAAACAGG